UACAGAGGGGGCAAGCGUUGUUCGGAAUUACUGGGCGUAAAGGGCGCGUAGGCGGCCGCCUAAGUCAGACGUGAAAUCCCUCGGCUCAACCGGGGAACUGCGUCUGAUACUGGCGGGCUUGAAUCCGGGAGAGGGAUGUGGAAUUCCAGGUGUAGCGGUGAAAUGCGUAGAUAUCUGGAGGAACACCGGUGGCGAAGGCGGCAUCCUGGACCGGUAUUGACGCUGAGGCGCGAAAGCGUGGGGAGCGAACAGG
rnacentral:rRNA from 1 species